CCUACGGGAGGCUGCAGUGGGGAAUAUUGGGCAAUGGACGCAAGUCUGACCCAGCAACGCCGCGUGAAGGAAGAAGGCUUUCGGGUUGUAAACUUCUUUUGACAGGGAAGAGCAGAAGACGGUACCUGUCGAAUAAGCAACGGCUAACUACGUGCCAGCAGCCGCGGUAAUACGUAGGUGGCAAGUGUUGUCCGGAUUUACUGGGUGUAAAGGGCGUGUAGCCGGGCUGACAAGUCAGAUGUGAAAACCGGGGGCUCAACGCCCGAACUGUAUGUGAAACUGGUGGUCUUGAGUAUCUGAGAGGCAGGCGGAAUGCCUAGUGUAGCGGUGAAAUGCGUAGAGAUUAGGAGGAACACCAGUGGCGAAGGCGGCCUGCUGGACGACAACUGACGGUGAGGCGCGAAAGCGUGGGGAGCAAACAGGAUUAGAUACCCCAGUAGUC
rnacentral:rRNA from 1 species